CUCCUCCCCAAUCCCCUCUCCAACCGAGAAGAACAGGGCAGUGGCGGCGGCGCCGACCACGCGCCCGGGCAACGGAGCCGAGCGCGUGCCUGAAGACGACGGCGGCGACUGCGGCCGCGAGCGCGCGCCUGGAGACGGCAGCGGCGAAGGCGCGCCUGGCGACGGCGACGGAGAGCGCGCUGCUGGAAACGGCGACGACAAGCUUGUGCCUGCGCGACGGCAGCAACUGCGGCGGCGACGACGAGCGCGUGACUGAAGACGGCGCGCGCGUGGGUGGUGCGGCUACGACGGCAGCGAAGGCGCGCCUAGACGACCUUCUCCCCAAUCCCUACAUCAGCUUGUCCUCCCCAAAAUAUCUGGAUUGGCCUACUCACAUAUUUCUCCCUCAAUCCUCUCCCUUGCUCCUCCCCAAUCCCUGCCCUCCGCUCCAUCUCCGGCGAGCUGCCGCCAAUCAUGUGCUCCGGCUCGCGCCAGUCUCGCCCUCUUUCUCAUGCGCGUCCCCGUGACACGUCCCCCCUCUCCUCUCCUCGGUCAACCCUGCAAUGUAGCCGGAGCUCCUCCUCCAAGUUGUUGCGCUACAGCCCCGCGCCGACGUCGUCCUCCGCCUCUCCCUCCUCCCCAGAGAUAAAUACAAGGUUUGGGGGCCGUUGCUGCCCUCCUCCCCCUGAUCCAAGUCUGUGCUCAAUAGGAGAUGGAUGUGUGUGGAAGCAGCGGCGGUGAUGCCAGGUCCUGCUGAUGGCGUAGAGGAGAAAGAGACGAGACUCAGGCGCCAAGGAGAUGACUCGUACAGGUCUGCAGCCAGGCAACCUCGGCAGCACAUCCAUCCUCACUGGCCCAUGCCAAAUAAGAAAAUUGAUGAACAACCAGAGUGGAUCUGGGGUCCUCAUAAUGGAGAUCAUCUUUGCCUGAAGCAUAGUCGACUACGCGAGACCUCUCCUGGAGGAUUUGUGAACUUAUCCAGGGUUAUAAUCACUGAUUUUUAGCGUACUAAAAAGGAGCCUAAUAUGUUCCUAAUCAUAUAAAGAUGCAUGCAAGAACAGACGUCUUCUAUAAGAGUCGCCUAAAAUGACGGUGUGAAGAAAACAAACAUGGUGAUAUGUGACACCAACAUUUGGACGAGUUUGCUUGUGCCACAGAACUGGACGAGAAGAGGUUGCUAGAUUCAACCUUUGCGCGACCGAGGUUUGAGCACCACCAAAUGCAUUCUAUUUGCUGGACCCAUCCUUCAUAAAACGAGCAUUAUAAUCAAAUUAUUGACUAGUGUUGACAGCUUGAAAAUAAUAUUUCUAUUGGCCUUUUCAUUUUACGGCAAGAGCAUUAUCCUGAUGCUAGAGGCCUACUUCUCUCAUGAUCCCAUUUGUGUACUAUGCAUGAACUUCAUGGAGACCAUCAUCGACCACCGUCAUUCUGGAAUCUAUGCUGAAAAAGUUAUACCUUCCAUUCCCUAAGUAUGAAAGCCGUGCAAUUAGAGGAGGCUUCUUUGAGACUGAAGUGAUAUUUUAUCCUUCUAAUGCUUUCUUCGGUCUUCACUCUGUACUCAUUCGCUACUAAGCUAUCUGGCAAGCUCCUUGGAAGUAGCAACAAAUGAUGUUGUGAGACAAGCAUCAUACAACAACCAAGUUUCAGAAUAUAUGCUAACUACAUCUCCUAUAUUAUAAGGGGUGGGGUUCUUCUCAUUGGUGAAAUACGAAGACAUAUACUGGUCAGUUAUCAAUAUUGGAAAGGGAGGAUGAUACAUGCAGGGCAGAAAUUUGGGCAGUUAAGUGUAAAUGCGGGCAUGCGGCUACCUAUGUAGUAUCAAUCUUUUCUGUAGUUUAAUUUUUUUACAUUUUAAGCAGAAGCGUACUGCUAACAUAAUUGAUUGAUACAAAAUUCAUGAUGGUUAACAAACCUGCAGAAAUUGCUAAUUAGUGGAGUGUUGGUACGGCAGAGGUUUGGCCGAGCUGGCUGCACAAAAUUAGCUCCGCAUGACUCCGGCGGCCGCGUUGCCUUCUACAUGAGAAAACUACUCUGCUAAAGGAAAGUGGAGGUAGGAGUGAAAACUAAAGUGUCGGCGAGAUGAAUCGGUUAUGGUAAGUUCGAACCAAUUAGCGAAGCUGAUGGAAGUGCUUUGCCUGUUGCUGAUCAUAUAAAGAAGACCUCCUGUUUUAUACCAUGUUCUUUGACUUAGAAUGUGUGCUUGCCUGUUGGUUUCCGAAACUGUUCUUAGUGUGAAUGUAUUGUUUCCUUCAAUUGGAUAAAUUCAUUUUGUGUUAACCCAAUGGCUAUUGACGGUUUUAAGGCAUCCCAAUAGCUAUUGACGGUUUUAAGGCAAUCUGGGUAUACAAGUUGAACGUUAAUUUAUUAUCUUCUGUUUAUUGUCAAAUUGCUUCUAAAAUUACAAUAUUACAACGUGGGCUAAUCUUCUUCUCUUACCUUUUCUUAUAUCUGGCUCACAUUUAACUAUUGGUUGAUUAUCUUUUCAUUUGCAGUGGUGUUAAGUUUUGGUGGUGCAAGUACCUAUUAAAUCUACGUUUUCUCUGUGUUGUGGCCUCUAAAAACCAUGCCACGACAACGCCCAUAAGCAGCUUAUGUAGAUGUUGUUUUUGAUGUUGCUUUCGUGCUCCUGAUAGACACAUCGAGACACAUCGACUGUUAGUUACUAUAAUAAUAUUCUUCUAUUUCCCUUAUUGUAUAUAAAGGUU